UACGUAGGGGGCGAGCGUUGUCCGGAGUUAUUGGGCGUAAAGAGCUCGUAGGCGGUUUGUCGCGUCUGCCGUGAAAGUCCGGGGCUCAACUCCGGAUCUGCGGUGGGUACGGGCAGACUAGAGUGAUGUAGGGGAGACUGGAAUUCCUGGUGUAGCGGUGAAAUGCGCAGAUAUCAGGAGGAACACCGAUGGCGAAGGCAGGUCUCUGGGCAUUAACUGACGCUGAGGAGCGAAAGCAUGGGGAGCGAACAGG
rnacentral:rRNA from 1 species